GCAUGAUAUCUAGGUUAGCAAAACCAUAUAAUAUACGUCCUAUAGGCAUGCUGUCUAAAUGCACAAUAAUAACAAGUAUGGAGAUGAUAGUGUACCAGUAUUGGUCAAAUUAGGUGAGGUGUGAUCAAUUCCUAGAGACAUGAUUUAUACUAGCGUGCAGAAGUAGAGCAAGUUAAAGAAGUAGGACAGUAGAAUCUUCCUGAAUCCAAUGCCCAGGUCCAACAAUACAUAUGGCCUAACACCGAGCCCAAUGAAUAACUUACUUAGCGGUAUGAAUGCCAAACUUAAUCAUACAAACGACAGAGCACUCGUGGAAUUAACUAAAUAACUUUUCACACUCAACUCCUAAAGCUAUAACUAAUCAACAUUUAUAACCAAAACAUAUGGAUAAGAUCACAUGAAAUACCGACAAGUUUACAAGGAAGGUUCAAGCUUGUAUUGUUAGAAAUAAACCUAAAGUGACAGGAUUGACCCUCAUAAGAUAGUGAACUAUUACAAAAGACUUUCAAGAGCAAGCUGAUUCAGAAUUAGCCUAAAAGAGCUUUAGCCACAAGAUUUAAACAUGGAAAUCUAAUAGACUCAUAGACACGAUCAAGUAGAGCAUAGCCUUCACACAUAAGUUUUAACAUGAAGGUCUAGUGAAAACAAUAUAACAUAACAGGUUCAUGAUCAAGCAAUUACUUAGUUGAGCAUGAGAAAACUUGAACAUGCUGAGUAUCAGCAAAAACUUAUAGUAAAUAGUAUUUUAAAAGAAAGAGAUAGUAUGGCAUGCUAUCCAAGUGGAAGUGUAAUAAAAUGGCAGAAGCAGUUGAUUAAGAGAUUAGUAUCAUAUGGUCAUGAUAUCCAGAUUGAUAGUGCAUCAAAGAAAAUAGGAGCAGUUUGAUCAAUUAAUUAUUUGAAGUCCUAUUGGCAAGAUAACUAGGUUAGCAAAACCACAUAAUAUACGUCCUAUAGGCAUGCUGUCUAAAUGCACAAUAAUAACAAGUAUGGAGAUAAUAGUGUACCAGUAUUGGUCAAAUUAGGUGAGGUGUGAUCAAUUCCUAGAGACAUGAUUUAUACUAGCGUGCAGAAGUAGAGCAAGUUAAAGAAGUAGGACAGUAGAAUCUUCCUGAAUCCAAUGCCCAGGUCCAACAAUACAUAUGGCCUAACACCGAGCCCAAUGAAUAACUUACUUAGCGGUAUGAAUGCCAAACUUAAUCAUACAAACGACAGAGCACUUCAAUACAUAUGGCCUAAUACCGAGCCCAUUGAAUAACUUACUUAGCGGUAUGAAUGCCAAAC
rnacentral:lncRNA from 1 species